UUUGAUUAUCACCGGGGAUGAACAACUUUUGUCACGUGACCGCAAAAGUCAACGCCGGUUGCAGAAACAGAUUGUAAUCUUGUACAUUAAGAAACAUGACGCUCGUGUGUGAAAUCUGUGGAAAGACAUUUAAAUCGAAGUGGGGGUUAAAGCUUCAUGAUAAGCGCCACAGAGGGACUGGACGAUUCGCCUGUUGUGGAAAAACAUUUUACACAAAACAGGCGUUCAACAGACACAGAUGCAGCAUUCAUGGUGUUGAAAAGCCGUUCCCCUGUGAACAAUGCGGCAAAAAGAUUUCAACCAAAGAUGACCUGAAUCGUCACGUCCGGAGGGAGGUUGCUGCAAAGCAAUUUACCUGCUCAAUUUGCAAUGCAACGCUCCGGGAGAAAAUUGACCUUCAGGCCCACCUUGCCACCCACAAUGGAGAGAAAAACUUUGCUUGUGAUAUGUGUGAAAAGAGGUACAGGCACCGCAGUAGUCUAUCAAAGCACAGAUCUGCAAAGCACCGGGCCUAGUCAUCUGUUGCAUGACGAUGAUAAGACCAAGAAUUAUUUUUAAUUCUUACCAAUGUGCCGUGGUUAUUUUCUUAAUUAUUGAAAAUACAGACUGUCAUACAAUAAUAUAUAGUAUUACGCGUGUUUUUGCGUCUUAAACAUUGUGUUUCAUAUCGUUUAUCUUGUGUUGUUUUGUUUGAUAUUCCUGUUUUUAAUAAGAUUAUUGUUGUAAUAUUUAUCAUUCUAAUUUAAAAUGAUUAUGAUAAUGGUUGAUCUCAUACAAAUUAUUGUGUUCAUUAUUGCUCAUCUGUGAUUACUGUUGAUCUCAGCCCAUGAAUUGUGAUUUAUAUUGAUUAUCUGUGAUUAUUGUUGAUCUUAUCAAAAUAAUUGUAAUUUAUGUUGAUUAUCUGUGAAUUUUUUAUCUUAACCUAUUAAUAGUGAUUUAUAUUAUCUGUGAUUAUUGUUGAUCUUAUCAAAAUCAUUGUGAUUUAUGUUGAUUAUCUGUGAUUAUUGUUGAUCUCAACCGAUUAAUUGUGAUUUAUAUAACCAGUGAUUAUUGUUGAUCUUUUCAAAAUCAUUGUAAUUUAUGUUGAUUAUCUGUGAUUAUUGUUGAUCUUUUCGAAAUCAUUGUAAUUUAUGUUGAUUAUCUGUGAUUAUUGUUGAUCUUUUCAAAAUCAUUGUAAUCUAUGUUGAUUAUCUGUGAUUAUUGU